UGAGGAAUAUUGGACAAUGGGCGCAAGCCUGAUCCAGCAAUGCCGCGUGCAGGAAGAAGGCCUUCGGGUUGUAAACUGCUUUUUGUACGGAACGAAAAGGCUCUUUCUAAUAAAGAGGGCCCAUGACGGUACCGUAAGAAUAAGCACCGGCUAACUCUGUGCCAGCAGCCGCGGUAAUACAGAGGGUGCGAGCGUUAAUCGGAAUUACUGGGCGUAAAGCGCACGUAGGUGGCGACGUAAGUCGGGUGUGAAAGCCCCGGGCUCAACCUGGGAACCGCAUUCGAGACUGUGUUGCUGGAGUACGGAAGAGGAGGGCGGAAUUCCCGGUGUAGCGGUGAAAUGCGUAGAGAUAGGAAAGAACACUCGUGGCGAAGGCGGCUUUCUGGCCCAUAACUGACGCUGAGGUGCGAAAGCAUGGGGAGCAAACAGGAUUAGAUACCCAGGUAGUCCCUGAGCGGGCUGGCAAGGCGCAU
rnacentral:rRNA from 1 species